UUGUUCUCCUCCUUCCUCACAAACGGCGCGGCGGUGGAGGUCUUCUUCGCCGAUCAGCUUUCAAUGCGCCACUGUGAACAAGAACAAGGAACCGACCUCUCUCACUCAAAACUCGGCGGCGAUGAAUCCUUGGCAUCGAUGGUGACGGCACGGUGCGGCGGCGGCGCGGUGAGUCUCAGAUUCUCAGAUCGGAGCUUCCCCGUCUCAAGUUCUCGAUCUCACUCUCUCUGAGAUCACGCAUCUUCGCUCAGAUUCUCUCGCUCCUCUCUGGUCUCGUGUCUUGUAAUCUCUCUCGAUUCAGGAUUCUUUCCAUCUCCAACGCUUCUCCGGUUGCAACUCAGAUGAAGAUGAAGAACAGAUGCAGCGAUGAAGAUUAUUGAUAUACGAAGUUGAUGAUGGAAGAACCUGAAGAUGAAGCUUCGAGAAUCCGGUUAAAGGUUCUUGUUAUUGCAAAGUUUAUGGUGAUUUGUGAAAGAUGAAUGUGAUGCAGUGCUGAAGAGGACGAAGGUUCAACGAUUCCAGAAGUUUUUGUUAGAGGU